UUUAAAAUAGUCUUUUCCCAUAAAAUCCAUAACUCUUAAUCUAUACAUCCAAAAAUUUCCAUUUUUGGACACAAUCUAGAAAACUCAUCAAAUUAUCAUUUCAAAUUUUUCCAAAAUUUUUGAGGGUCAGAAAAAUUAUGAAACUGCCCCUGGCAGAAACCUCUUUUGAAUGAAAAUACUAUUCAUAUGAAAACAAAGGAUCAUUCAUCAUGCAUGCGGUAAUCCACAUAGACAGGUUAUUCCAACAGAAUAAUAAAGAAUGGAAUAAUAGAAGAAUUCACCAUGCAUGCGAUAGACUGCACAGACAAGUUAUUCUCAACAAAAUAAUAAAUAAUGGAACCAGGUCAUGCGUAAACCGCACACACAGGAUAUUCCAACAGAAUAAUAAAGAAUGGAACCAGGUCAUGCGUAAACCGCACAGACAGGAUAUUCUAACAGAAUAAUAAAGAAUGAAAUAACAAAGAAUUCACCAUGCAUGCGAUAGACUGCACAAACAGGUUAUUCCAACAGAAUAAUAAAGAAUGGAGCCAGGUCUAGCGUAAUCCGCACAGACAGGAUAUUCCAACAGAAUAAUAAAGAAUAGAAUAACAAAAGAAUUUCACCAUGUAUACAGUACUUCGCAUAGACAGGUUAUUUCAACAUAAUAAUAAAGAAUGGAAUAACAGAAUCUCUCUUCAUGAAUACGAAAGAAAUAAUACCCCUUACCUUAGAAUAAAGCUGGAUACUGAAAAAGAGAGGUAGCAGACUUCUCUUCUUCUUUCUUUCUAUAAUUUCUCUCUAUAAUAAUUGAUUUAUAGCUUUAGUGAAUUGAUGAGAAAUGAAGGAAGAAUGAGCUUCUAUUUAUAGGAAAAUAUAGUUUUGAUAAUUGCACGUUUUGGUGCUCGAAAUAUUACAGUACAAUACCUUCAACUUUUCUUUCAUUUUUAAUUUAGUCCUGCAAGUAUUCUCAAACUUGCACCACCUCCCCUAAUAGUAAAUCAUGUGAAUCAAUAGUAAAUCAUGUAAAUCAAUAGUUCUAGACAAGUGAAAAUACGAAUUACAGUAUAAUACCUUCAUCUAUACCUUCAUUUUUAACUUAGUCAUACAAGUAUUAUCAAUCUUGCACCAACUGCCCUAAUAGCAAAUGAAUGUGACUCAAUAGUACACACAUGUGAACAAAUAGUUAUAUAAGAAUGUGAAUUAGUAGCAAUUAAUUGCUCAUUUAUCCGAUUAAUUACCCGAUUUAUCAAUAUAACCCCCAGACAUUAAUUAUCAACGGAAUAGAUGUCGAUUUCCACUAACACUAAUAAUCCCAACACAAUGGAACUAUCAAUUUCAUCUUUAAUCAAACACGAACUUAUUCAUCAUUAAUAUUAUAACUCACAAUAUUUAACACCCAGGUCGUUCCCAGGAAAGAGGGGGCUUUUCGAUAAGGAUUUCUCCUUAUUGGCGCGCAAUUAGAUGACCAAACCUCUCCUUGACAGAACUUCUAGACAUUGUAAAUAUUGCAAUUUAAUAAUAUGAAUAACUUUGUCGUCAAAAUAUUGAUUUAAUAAUAUAUCAUAUUAUGCCGAUGAUACUGUGACAAUAAUCGAAUCAAUAAUAUGAGAGAUAUGAUGCAGUAAUUACUAUAGUAAUAAUUGAGUAUAACUGAGUGACUUCUCACGUAAGCAUCAAUAAUCAAUACCGUGUGCUACUAUGCAACCACGCGUAUUACUGUACUUUUACUACCGAGUAAUUCAACAGUUUUAACGGUAAAACUUCCGUCGUUAUUUUCAUAAAAAUAUUUCUGUCGUUUUCUCAUUCCGACAAUAAUUCUAUUGUGGGGUCCACAAAUGAUUGUGCCGUCGUACGGAUAUUUCCCGACUAAAAGAAUAUUCCUCGAUCAAUCGAAUAUUAUAUAACCACUUGCAUACUUUUUAAAAUUUCUAAAUAUUACCCACAACUAUAACAUUAUCUCAAAUCCACACCAUAAUUUUGAAAAAAAUAUUUCGAGAAAAUUAAAUCUUUAUUCAUAAAAUUUGGGGUCUUACAAUCUCCCCUCCUUAUGAAAUUUCGCCCUCAAAAUUUACGUACAUACUUGGUAUGCCGAAGAGGUGAGGAUACCUUGACUUCAUUUCAGAUUCUAACUCUUGAGGUAUAACCUUUAAGUGUUGAAUACGAUCCUUCUUAUCUAAGAUUUCAACACGUAUCUCCUCAUACGUUAAAUCUUCUGCUAUCUCGUCUAGUUCUAAUUUAAUAACAUGGUUCGGGUCAUCCACAUAUUUACGUAACAUCGAUACGUGAAAAACGUGACAUACUUGGCGAUAAAACGAGUCUAUAGGCCACAGUUCCUACUCGAUCGAGGAUUUCAAAUGGGCCAAUUAAAUCGAGGGUUGAGAUAACGCCUUCUUGAACCUUCUUCUUCACAUUCAUCAGAUUCGGGUGUGAAGCUUGAGCGGCUUUAACUUUAUCGAUUAAAGUCGAUUCUAAUCGUAUAUUCGUUAUCUUCAUGUGGGUCCCUAGAGUCUUUAACUCUAUCUUCAUCAUUUGUAAGUUAUACGAAAUGGGUUUUUGUGUUAACAACAUCGCACUCGUAAACGCAUACGAUCUUCUACUCAACGCGUCAGCUACCACGUUCGCUUUUCCACGAUGAUAUUGAAUGGUAUGAUCGUAAUCUUCAACAGCUCGAGCCAACGUCUUUGGCACAUUAUACGAUCGUUUUAGGUAAAGAAAUAUUUGAGGGUUUUAGAAAUGGGUUUUGUACUGGGGUCAAUACAAAAUUCGAUUUCACGCUCUAGGGGUAAGCUAAGAAGUUCUUUGAGAAUACGUCAGGAAAUUUAUUAACGAUAGAAAUAUCAUUUAAAAACUGUGACUCUCAUCCAAGACUUGGAUAGCACAUGAAGUGAAGGUUUCUACUAACGAAGUUUCAACCAAUAAGUCAAAGUCUAACUUCUCUGGGGUUAAAUUUAAACGUUGAACGCAAGCAAGAGAGAUAAAAUAAUGGGUAGAACCGGUAUCUAAUAAGGCAUAGACUUCGCAAGAAUUUAUAAUUAACUAACCCGUGCUAACUUCGUUCGGGUUACUCGCUUUUUGAGAAGUCACAAAAAAUGCUCUUCCUGAAACCACCGACUUUGUUUUGUCCGUAUCCGCCUUUGGUGCCACCGUCCCAGCUGGAUUUGACUUUGGUGGAUGACAAAAUCGGGCUAGGUGGCCUUCUUUUCCACAAUUGUAAUAUGCUUUGGACUGCAUCACGCAGUUUGGACAGAUAUGUCCCUCCCCUCCGCAUUUGUAACAUACAACCGGCGGUCGUUCUCCUUCCUUAACAAUAGGUGCUGGUGCUGACAUCUUUCCAUCAUUGUUGAAUCUCCUCUUCUUGAAAUUUCCACUCCUAUUAUCUGGGCCAUGAUUACCACCGAAGUGGUUACCAUUCUUGGCAUGAUAAUUUCCCCCACGAUGGUUAUCAUUGUUCUGAUGGCCAUUGCCACCGAUACGAUUAUUAUCAUUGCCUUUUGGUAGGGCUGGUUCAUUAUCGUACUCCAAUAACUGAGCCCUAUUCACUACAUCUGAAUACAAAUAAAAUUUUAGAGAAAUGAGGUAUUGACGUAUAUCGGGUUUCAAACCUCUUAGAAAUAUUCGCGUCAUUCGCUCCUCAUUAUCGACCAAAUGGGAUGCAAACCGGGAUAACUCUGCAAAUUUAGCUUCGUAUUGCGACACGGUCAUAUUAUUUUGCUCCAACUUGAUAAACUCCACCUCCUUCAUGCGACGAAUACUUUCGGGAAAGUACUUGUCGUUGAACAGCUCUUGGAACUUCUCCCAAGACAUCUUGAGUUCGUCAGGUUGGGUACGUUUUACAGAUUCCCACCAGUAAUCUGCCUCUUCACACAACAUAAAGGUGGCGAAGGGAACCUUUUUCUCCUCUGAGCAUCCCAAGACAUCAAAUAUCUUGGUGAUCUGCUUUAACCACAUCUCCACCUUAAGUGCUUCUAGCUUUCCCAAAAACUCCGGUGGUCCCAGCUCCUUGAACUGCUUAGCGGUGACCGACCGUGGGUUGCCAUUAUUUCCACCUAUAUUUUGAACAGGAGUCUCUCUUACCUGAUGUUUCAUGAAUUAUAUAAAGCCUCUGAACAUCCCAUCGUUCAUCAUCUGAUCGGUGUUGUUAUUUACCUGAGGAUUAUUGUCUUCAUGUUGCACAUUAUCCUGGGUAUUGAUCGUUGGUGACUCAACGGUCUCAUGUGCUUCAUUGCUGAUCUCANNNNNNNNNNNNNNNNNNNNNNNNNNNNNNNNNNNNNNNNNNNNNNNNNNNNNNNNNNNNNNNNNNNNNNNNNNNNNNNNNNNNNNNNNNNNNNNNNNNNNNNNNNNNNNNNNNNNNNNNNNNNNNNNNNNNNNNNNNNNNNNNNNNNNNNNNNNNNNNNNNNNNNNNNNNNNNNNNNNNNNNNNNNNNNNNNNNNNNNNNNNNNNNNNNNNNNNNNNNNNNNNNNNNNNNNNNNNNNNNNNNNNNNNNNNNNNNNNNNNNNNNNNNNNNNNNNNNNNNNNNNNNNNNNNNNNNNNNNNNNNNNNNNNNNNNNNNNNNNNNNNNNNNNNNNNNNNNNNNNNNNNNNNNNNNNNNNNNNNNNNNNNNNNNNNNNNNNNNNNNNNNNNNNNNNNNNNNNNNNNNNNNNNNNNNNNNNNNNNNNNNNNNNNNNNNNNNNNNNNNNNNNNNNNNNNNNNNNNNNNNNNNNNNNNNNNNNNNNNNNNNNNNNNNNNNNNNNNNNNNNNNNNNNNNNNNNNNNNNNNNNNNNNNNNNNNNNNNNNNNNNNNNNNNNNNNNNNNNNNNNNNNNNNNNNNNNNNNNNNNNNNNNNNNNNNNNNNNNNNNNNNNNNNNNNNNNNNNNNNNNNNNNNNNNNNNNNNNNNNNNNNNNNNNNNNNNNNNNNNNNNNNNNNNNNNNNNNNNNNNNNNNNNNNNNNNNNNNNNNNNNNNNNNNNNNNNNNNNNNNNNNNNNNNNNNNNNNNNNNNNNNNNNNNNNNNNNNNNNNNNNNNNNNNNNNNNNNNNNNNNNNNNNNNNNNNNNNNNNNNNNNNNNNNNNNNNNNNNNNNNNNNNNNNNNNNNNNNNNNNNNNNNNNNUCUUAAACUUAUAAACAAUUUAUUUCAAUUGUUUACACUUUACCAAAUAAUGCAUUUAAUCAUUCAAAAAUGCCAUACUCAUAAGAUUUCAUCACCAAUGAUCAAAUCCCUCAUCAAAAAUCUGCAUAUAUGAUUGGGUAAUAUACCCAUGAAUCAGAUAUACUCGGGCUUAAAUUAUUGUAUUCUUAAGUUGUUUUGAUGCAUUAUUAUUGUGUUUUUAUGUUAUUUUGCAGAGAAGGGAGCUGCAGGGGGCAAUUUGGGAACUUCAAGCUGUGUAAUGGCAUUUUGGUAAUUUUUCAGGGACCAGCGCUGGGGCGCUAUUACUAGAGUUAAUCCCAGCGUGGGGGCGCUGGGUCGUGAUUCUUGUUGACCAGAUGCGCGUUGACUAUUGGUUUGACUGCACAAUUGGAGGCUAUUUGAAGUUGAUUUGGACUAGGAUUGAAGGAACUUGGAUAAGUGGAGUAUAUAAAGUUUAUUUUGAUUGAAUUAGAGAUUGAUCAACUACACAAUUGAAGGCUAAGCAAGGAAGCAAGAACAGAUUGAAGAUUUUACUUAGAGUUUCUUCUUCUCCAUUCUUUCAAUUUGUGUAAUUCUUUAAGGAUGAUUUGCAAAAGAUUGUUGGUUUUAAUUUAUGUCAUGAACUAAUUUCAUAAAUUAAGAUUUCAGUUGAACCUUUUAUGGCUAUAAAUUAGUUAUUCAAUUUAUUCCAAUAAUUUGUGUCGAAGUGUAUUGUUUAUCUUGCCUUACAUUUAUUGAUUAAUUAUUUGGCCAAUAAUUACCUUGUUACUCUAGAAGGAAUUGAAAGAGGAGAUCUAGGGUUAGAACUGGGCAUGAUAACAUGUGUCUUGAUUAUUUGCAUGACGAAUAAUUAGGUUCAUGAAUUGAAUGGAAAUAUCUGUUCACCGUAUUAACACAUAAGGAAUUGGAAUUGAAGGAGUUUAAUUCAAUUGUUUUGCAUAGGAAUAUAGCAAGAUUAAUCUGGAUUAAAUAGAAGUAAAUCACUUGGAAAAGAACUUUUGGCAUUUGAGAAUUCCUGUUAAUAAUUCAAUAGGCAUAAUAAUUGGGAUAAUUGGAUAAUUGGUUUAUAGUUCAUAAUUGGGGAUAUUGGAGUCUUAAUCUUUAUUUACCUGAUUUCAUUCGUUAAAAUUCUAGUUUUAUUUAUUUAAUUUAUUUUUAGAAUAUUCUCUUUUCAUUGCUUAAAUUAGUUUCCUUAUUUUGAAAAAUCACAUUUAUGGUUGUUUAAAUAAAAUUGAUUUGGUUAACAGGUUAGUACUUGGUAAUUUUUAUUAAAUAAUUCCUCGUGGGAACGAUACUCUACUUUCACUUUAUUACUUAUUGACCGUGUAUAAUUCCACGUAUUCAUUGAUUGCGAAAUCGACCAACAAUUUUUUUGCGCCGUUGCCGGGGAACUCUUUAUUAAUUUUAAUUCCAUAUUAGUUAUAAUCAAUUCGGUCUUAAUUUAAACGUUAUUUAUUUUUCUUCUUGUAUUUGUAGGAAUUCUUUGCGAGUGCAUGCACACUAGAUCAAGGGCUAAAAAGGAACUUUUUCCUUAUACAGACGAUAUUGAAAGGAAGUUCCAAAAAUUGCAGUUGAAUAGUGCGGGGUCACCUGUGGAAGAAAAUCUGGCAGAACAAGAAAUUCCAGUGAACAUGGCAGGGGACGAACAGAAAUCGCUUAGGGAUUAUGCCAUGCCGAAUGUCACAGAUAUACAGUCAAGUUUUAAGAGGCUGGCAAUCAAUGAAAAUAGUUUCGAGAUAAAACCGAAAACAAUUCAGAUGCUGCAGAAUGCAUGCCAGUUUGGGGGUAGUUCGAUAGAUGAUCCUAAUGAGCACAUCUUGAGUUUCUUGGAAGUUUGCGACACCUUCAAGUUCAAUAAUGUAUCAAAGGAUGUUAUAAGGUUAAGGAUGUUCCCGUUUACAUUGAAAGAUAAAGCUCAGAGUUGGUUACAUUCUUUGCCUCCUGGGUCAAUCACAGCCUGGGACGACUUAGCUCAAAAAUUUCUAGCUAAGUUUUUCCCACCAGCUAAGUCGGCAAAACUACGGAAUGAUAUUCAUACCUUUGCAUAGUUCGACUCCGAAACGUUAUAUGAGGCAUGAGAAAGAUUCAAAGAUAUGCUCCGUAAGUGCCCACAUCACGGAAUUCCAUAGUGGAUGCAGUUGGGAAUAUUCUGUGGUGGUUUGCAUACGUCCACAAGAGCCAGUAUUGAUGUAGUAGUAGGUGAAGCAAUCAUGUCUAAGAAUUUUGAUGAGGCAUAUCAAUUGUUAGAGAUGAUGGCCAAUAACAACUAUCAGUGGCCCAUGACUAGGUCUAACCCUCCAAAAACACCGGGAAAGUUUGAAGUGGAUCCUAUGACAGCAUUAUCAGCACAGGUGGCCGCAAUAGCUAAGAAAAUGGAAACAUGGAGUCCACCAUCCACACAGUAGGUAGCAAUAGUUUAUGAAUUAUGUGCUGGGGGUCAUGCUAUGGAUCAAUGUGCCAUAAAUUCUGAAUCAGCUCAGUUCGUAGGGAGCUAUAAUCGAUCUACCCAACCUUAUUCGAAUCAAAACGCAUAUGAUCUAUGAAAAUCAUCCAGGAUUUUCAUAGAGUAACAAUCAAGCUCAAGCUCAAGCGCCUAGACAACAAAACACAUCCAGAUUUCAGAAUCAGACUCAACAACAACCAGAAGGGAAACCAGGUUGGGAGGAAGCCUUGGAAAAAUUCAUUAGAGCUACUGACAAAAAGAUUGAGGCACAAGACAAGAUAUUGAAACAAGUAGAUAUGAAUGUGAAAAGCCAAGGUGCGUCGAUAAAGAAUCUGGAAAAUCAAUUGGGGCAGAUAGCACAUGCAUUGAACAACCGUCCACAUGGAACACUUCCUAGUGAUACUGAGAUAAAUCCGGGCAGAGAUGAGAAUUGCAAGGCCGUGACUUUACGCAGUGGAAAGGAUUUGCAAGAGACAGUUAAGGAUAAGGAAAAGAGGGACAACACAACAGAUGAAAUAGAAGGAGUGGUGGAUACCAGAAAAUGUCAAGAUGAAAUCGUAGAGCAAAAAGCACUGGAACCACCUAUGACAAUGCCUCCCAUACCGUAUCCGCAGAGUUUUUAGAAAUCCAAGUUAGAUAAGCAGUUUUCAAGAUUUUUGGAUAUUUUCAAAAAAUUGCAUAUCAACAUCCCCUUUGCCAAAGCCUUGGAACAAAUGCCGAGUUACGCAAAGUUUAUGAAGGAGGUUUUGUCGAGAAAGAGGAAAUUGGGUGAGUUCGAGAUAGGGGCUUUGACCGAAGAGUGCAGCGCGAUCAUUCAGAAUAAGUUACCGCCGAAGCUUAAGGAUCCAGGUAGUUUUACUAUUCCUUGUGAAAUUAGAAAUCAAUUUUCGGGAUGAGCACUAUGUGAUUUAGGGGCUAGUAUAAACUUGAUGCCACUAUCCGUCUACAAUCAGUUUGGACUUCAAGCACCAAAAUCGACGAAUGUCAGUUUGUAGUUGGCGGAUCGGUCCGUUAUAUAUCCACGAGGUAUAGUUGAAGACGUGUUAGUAAAAGUGGAUAAGUUCAUCUUCCCCGCAGAUUUCUUUAUCUUGGAUUAUGAAGUGGAUAGAGAAAUCCCAAUUAUUCUUGGGCGACCAUUCUUAGCAACGGGGAGAACUUUGAUUGAUGUGCAAAAAGGAGAAUUGACGAUGCGAGUUGAGGAUCAACAAGUCACCUUUAAUGUAUUUAAGUCAAUUUCUUAUCCGAAAGAAAAAGGUGAAUGCAUGCGGGUGGAUAUAAUGGAUGAAUUGGUUAAUCACAAGUUCCACGAAAAUUAUUCAGAGGACUCGCUAGAAUCCAUUUUGCUCAGGAUGGACGACGAUGGUAUUGAAGAUGACGUUGAGUAUGUCAAAUGGCUAGAUACAUCAUCUUUCUUCUAGAAAAGCAAUCAACCAUUCGACACCCUUGAUAGGCCCGAAACGGAAGGUAAAAAGUGCAAACCCUCAAUAGAAGAGCCACUGGUGUUGGAACUAAAAUCGCUACCAUCUUAUCUGCAGUAUGCCUACUUUGAAAGAUGCCACCUUACUAGUGAUUAUUUUGACAGAGUUAACUGAUACGCAAAAGGAGAAACUGCUAAGGGUCUUGCGAGAGUUCAAAAUAACAAUUGGGUGGACUAUAGCGGAUAUUCGAGGAAUUAGUCCCUCAUUCUAUAUGCAUAAGAUUUUAAUGGAAGAGGGGGAAAAACCAACCAUUGAACUGCAAAGAAGGCUAAACCCCAUUAUGAAGGAUGUGGUACAAAAGGAGAUCAUAAAGUGGUUGGAUGCCGGUAUUAUUUACCCAAUCUCGGACAGUUCAUGGGUAAGUCCUGUAUAGUGCGUACCAAAGAAAGGGGGUAUGACAGUGGUGAAGAACGAAGCUAAUGAGCUCAUCCCUACUAGAACCGUUACAGGAUUGAGAGUAUGUAUGGACUACUAUAAGCUGAAUAAAGCCACACGCAAGGAUCACUUUCCCUUGUCGUUCAUUGAUCAGAUGCUGGAUAGGUUAGCGGGACAUCAAUUUUAUUGUCUUUUGGAUGGAUAUUCCGGGUAUAAUCAAAUUGCCAUAGCCCCGGAGGAUCAAGAAAAAACUACAUUCACAUGCCUAUACGGUACGUUUGCGUUCGGCGUAUGUCUUUUGGUUUAUGUAAUGCACCGACAACCUUUCAACGGUGCAUGAUGGCAAUCUUCUUAGAUAUUGUCAAACAGAAUUUGGAGGUAUUUAUGGAUGACUUUUCCGUGUUUGGUGAUAGUUUUGACUUAUGUUUGAAAAAUCUGAUUUUAGUGUUGAAGCGAUGCGUGGAGACUAACCUGGUCCUUAACUGGGAAAAAUGUCACUUUAUGGUGAAAGAAGGGAUUAUUUUGGGGCAUAAGGUUUCUGCAGCAGGCUUAGAGGUGGACAAAGCGAAGAUUGAGACAAUUGAGAAAAUACCUCCUCCAUCAUCUGUAAAGGGAAUUCAGAGUUUCUUGGGACAUGCGGGUUUCUACAGACGCUUCAUUAAAGACUUUUCAAAAAUUUUGAAACCAUUAUGUUCCUUGUUGGAGAAGGACGUGCCUUUUAAGAUGGGUCCGUCAUGUAUAGAGGCAUUUGAAGUAUUAAAGAGGAAAUUGGUCUCGGCUCCAAUUAUAGUGGCGCCCGAUUGGUCUUUACCAUUUGAAUUGAUGUGCGACACCAGUGACUACGCAGUUGGAGCAGUAUUGGGACAACGUCAUGACAAAAAUUUUCACACUAUCUACUACUCCAGCAAGACGUUGACGGAUGCCCAGUUGAACUACACAACCACCAAAAAAGAAUUACUUGCGGGUGUGUUUGCCUUUGACAAAUUCAGAGCAUAUCUCAUUGGGACCAAGGUAAUUGUCUACACUGAUCAUUCUACCAUUAAAUAUCUGAUUGAGAAGAAGGAUGCCAAACCGCGGUUAAUACGGUGGGUACUGUUGUUACAAGAAUUUGAUUUGGAGAUCCGGGAUAGAAAAUGUACCAAAAAUCAGGUAGCGGAUCAUCUUUCUCGGUUGAAAAAUGCGGAGGUGCAGAAAAAAGACAACGUAAUGAUCAAUGAGAAAUUUCUGGAUGAACAGCUUCUCCGAGUGAUAACAAUAUUGCCAUGGUAUGCGGAUUACGUGAAUUACGUGGUUGCUAAAGUGUUACCCCCGGAUUUGAACUCACAGCAACGAAAGAAGUUCCUCCAUGAUUUUAAGCAAUAUUAUUGGGACGAACCAUUUCUGUUUAAGGCUUGUGCGGAUCAAAUGAUCAGACGUUGUGUGCCACAUGAAGAGAUGGACAGCAUAUUAGGUCAUUGCCACUCAUCAGAUUACGGAGGUCAUUAUUCCGGUGAUCGAACAGCAGCCAAAGUGUUACAAUCAGGAUUUUUCUGGCCUUCUCUAUUCAACGAUGCUUACCUCUAUGUGCUGAAGUGUGAUCGGUGCCAAUGCGUAGGUAAUAUCUCCAAGCGCAAUGAAAUGCCACUCAACACAAUCUUGGAGGUUGAACUAUUCGACGUGUGGGGGAUCGACUUUAUGGGACCUUUCACAUCCUCCUUCAAUAAUCAGUACAUUCUAUUGGCGGUAGAUUACGUUUCCAAAUGGGUAGAAGCCGCAACUUUACCCACAAAUGAUGCCAAAGUUGUCUUACGAUUUUUGAAGAAAAAUAUCUUCACUCGAUUUGGGACGCCUAGGGCGAUGAUAAGUGAUGAGGGAACUCAUUUCUGUAAUAAGCAGUUCACUAAAUUGCUUAUAAAGUAUGGGGUUCAUCAUAAAAUUGCAACCGCAUAUCAUCCCCAAACCAAUGGUCAAGCGGAAGUCUCAAAUAGGGAGGUCAAGCGAAUUCUGGAAAAGGUGGUCAAUCCGUCACGAAAAGAUUGGUCCUUGCGUCUAGAUGAUGCCCUAUGGGCAUAUCGAACAGUGUACAAGAAUUCGAUUGGCAUGUCACCUUACAUAAUGGUCUACGGAAAGGCAUGUCAUCUACCGGUCGAAUUAGAACACAGUGCACACUGGGCCAUACGAAAACUUAAUUUCGAUCUAUAAGCAGCGGGUGAGAAAAGGUUACUGCAAUUAAAUGAGAUGGACGAAUUCCGGUUCAAUGCCUAUGAAAAAGCAAAACUCUACAAAGAGAAAGUCAAAGCCUGACACGAUAAGAAAAUUCUUGAUCAAAGAUUUGAACCGUGCCAACAAGUCUUGCUUUUUAAUUCACGAUUGCGUUUAUUUCCUAGGAAAUUGAAAUCUCGUUGGUCCGGGCUGUUCGUGAUUAUAUCUGUCGCUCCACACGGAAACAUCAAAGUCGAGGAAUCGAAUUUAAAACACAAAUUUAAGGUGAACGGUCAACGACUUAAACAUUACUGGAGUGGACCCAUUGAACAUAAAUCCACGGUCAUGUACCUCUCCGAACCAGCGGACAAUUGAGCAACACUGCGAAGUCUGGCCGACGACUAUAAACCAAGCGUUAUAGGGAGGCAACCCCAUUUUUUUAUUUUAUUACCCCUCAUUAAAACUAUUGUUACUUUCAUUUAUUUCAUUUUUUAUUUUAUUCAUUUUAUUAUAUAAUAUGCAUAACAUCUGUCUGUUUCAUACCCAACACAGUUGCAAGAUGACCACUAAAUGACAUAAGGAGUAUCCAGAUCAGCGCCCCGGUGCUUGGAAACAAUGGGAAUCCAGCGCCCCGGCACAGCCCAUCAGAAUCUAUCACAUAUCUACAGCACCCCGACGCUCCAAUCAUGCACUCUCACAGCGCCCCGACACUGGGUUCCCUACUCAGUUGCUGAUGUAAAGCGCCCCGACGCUCCUCAUAAGUCAUUCUACAGCGCCCCGGCGCUGAGAUUCAGAACCAGAAAUUGUUGCCUAGCGCCUCAGCGCUUUACACUGUAUAUAAUCCAGCGCCCCGGCGCUGCAAUGUAAAUUAAGAGUCCUACAGGGGCUUAACUGCUGAACGGUUACACUUCUCCUCUUUUCAAAUUCUCUUCUCAAUUAUCUCUCACACGUCUCUAAUAUUCUCAUAAGGUAACCGAAACCUGGAUAGUGGAUAUCUGCAUAACUCGAGGCACAACUUCAUAUCUCAUUUUUCUGUGAUCAUUGUGUUCCGUAAUUUUCAUCUCUCACGUUCAUCUUCAAAGGUAUGUCCUGAAAUACGUUCAAAUUAUUGUGGAACAAAACCUUGUUAAUGGUGUGAUUGGUGAGUCAUAUUCAUAUUGAUUUACAUUCUCCUACAUUUAAAGCGAAGAUUUUCAUUCUUCUGAUUUUGCAUAUAUAAUAUUGCACGUAUGUGACUCACUUUUGAUUGGGAUAGAAUGCUUAUAUAGAGAUGGAAUGCUAGGGAUUUAAAUUGUUAGAAAAUUGGGAGUGUCCAAGCAAAGUAUGAAAUGCCCACAAGGUGUUUGAUGUUUUGUCUGACUCAAUGUCAUGCCCAUAACCAUAUCCGAAAUUGACUGUACUUGCAUUCUAACCAUCCCAAUACCGUAGGAUUACGGAGAUAUCAUUAGUAUGGGGGGUUAAUAUGUAUUGAUGCUUAUGUCGGGUCAAAUUUCUAUGGGACUAAUAUUUUGUUGGACUUACAUAAACAUGAUUGAAAUUUCUCAAAAUUUUAGCCUAUAUAGUUUUCCGUUACCCAUGUACCGAAUGUUGCAGUUGUUUGCCAUAAUAUGCUUCUACAUAGUGCGUUUCUUUGCAAAUUGUACCAUUUGAAUAGUAGCUGCGACCGAUCAGUACAAUGUGUUGUGACACACCCCCAACCAUGUACUCCACGUGCAUAUAUCCUGAAGUUUGGGGGUAGUGUUUGGGGUCCGUGUAUACAUAUUCGAGUUAUGCCCAAUGCUAAUAUAUGUGAAUGCGAUUUCUUACAGAUUUUUCUCAUGGCUUCAAAGCGGCAACGUGGAGAAGGGUCGGGGACAGGCUCAGCCCAACCCAAAUUUGACAGUCACCGGUUCGUGAGUGCUGCAACCCAAGAACGCUAUAAUAGGAUGGCUACGCGCUCACUAGUCCCCGAACGCGGUUUAAGGCCUGAUCCAGCCAAGGAUGGGGAUAUGGCAGCCAUGAUUGCGGAAAGAAAUUGGUUCAAAUUCACCACACAACCAGACCCACCAGUCAUUACAGUAGUAAAAGAGUUUUACGCAAAUGUGUCCGAACACUUCCACUAUGGGGUGUAUGUGAGGGGUAAGACGGUUGAAUUCGGUGAAGAAGAUAUCAACGGGUGCUACCAACUACCGUUAGAGGGACUCCAUGAUGAGUAUGCUAGUCUUGUGAGUGACGGGCCAGACUAUGAAAAGAUAAUUCGCAAGCUUUGUCAACCGGGAACCACAUGGACAUUGCAUGAACGUGGCUGCAAGACCUUCCCACUUUCUAACCUCAGUUUAUAUGGGAAGGCGUGGUAUGCCUUUAUAUGCGCCAAACUCAUGCCAUACACACAUGUGAGUCAUGUCACCAAGGAGAGGGUUGUCCUGCUAUAUUCCAUCAUUCAAGGAUUGAAGAUAGAUGUCGGUCAUGUUAUUCAGCAAUCAAUUUUGCGAGCUGCAAGAGGAGGAACCACGGGAGGUUUACCCCAUCCAUCUCUCAUUUGCGUGUUAUGUGCAAAAUUUGGGGUCAAAUGGAAAUCAGAUGAAAUUAUUCAAACUCCUAUGUCGGUGUUGGACCACAAGCUGAUCAGUAGGUAUAUAGUAUGUUUGGGUGGGGAGAAGCACCCUAGGGGAUUGGGUUUUAUAAUUCCCCAAGUGGAGGUUUCACAAGCUCCACCACCUUCGGCUCCACCCACAUAUGGUCCUUCCUUCGCAGUUCACCGUGGUGUUGUGCCUGAAGCUGUCCAGCGUGAGAUUGACAGUUGGUUCUACAAUCUUGAAUCCCAUAAUGUCCGCCUGUCGGAACGCCAGGAUGUCAUCUAUAAGUACUUGGUUGACCAAUUUGCCGCCCAUAAUGCAAUGAACACCCAACUGUUCCCGGGUGUUAAUCUUAGCCAGUUCCCCACUGCUCCCAUUCUGCUAGUGUUUCCCCCUUCCGGUCUAGAGAUGAGUGAGGAUGAUGAUGCUCCACCAAAGGAGUAAGCUCGUCAGGGAAGUCCUAUGUUUUAUAUUGGUUUUAUUUUUCGCAUGUGGACAUUGCUCUAGAUAAGUUUGGGGGUAGUUAAUUUCUAUUUACAUUUGUAGAUUGUUAAUAGUUGAGGAUAAUUUGGAUUCUUUUUGUGAUUUAAUGUUGCAUUUAGGAUUGCAUGUUAAUUCCAGCUGUUCAUUAGUUACAUAUGUUUGGGGCCAAUGAUGAAAUUAAAAUUGCAUGAACAAGUCUAAUAUGGAUUGUUAAGCUAGUAAUGUGAUUUUCUUGACAUGAUGUAAAUCGUUAUCUGUUUGACACUGAUAUUAUCAGGAUAACACAUUUUAAAACAUGACCAUGUUGGCUAAGAAGGUUUAAAUGGAUAGAUAAUAGACUUCUAAAGGAUGAAUGCUAGUGAAAUGAAGGAACAAUUUGAAUAACUAGUGAAGAUUGAAUUUAGACAUAAACUCAAGUUUGGGGGAAAAAUAUUUGGAGUAUAUAAGCUUUGAAAAAAAAAAUAAUAAUAACCGUGGCAUGCUUGUCUAGUUUUGUGGCCUUUAUUACUUGAGUAAGUAAGCCCGAGGGGAUUGUCUUUACACCUAGCGCCCUAAGGUCUUAAUGGCUUGGGAGUCGUUGGUCGAAAGCUCGUUAAGGUAGCACUGGAAAGCCUAAGGGAAUAAGACAAUGCAUAGUCAUGAGAAAAAAAAAUUUAAUAAAGUGGGAAAAGUGCAAAAAGCCCCAUUAUAAAAAAAAGAAGCAUAAGUAUUCCAUUUUUACCCUUGGAUUUUGGUAAUUGUUUAAUUUUAGCCGGAUCAAGUUUAUUUGAUGAGUUCUCGAGUUUGCACUGUAUGAUGUCUUCUAAGAAAUCUAUUAUCUUUCAUAUUUUGCUUUUCAAUAGUUAGCAUGGUCGUUGAACACACUCACGAUAUCAGUAAUAACAUAUUUAGAUUUAUUGAUUGUUGGGAUAUUAUUGAUCUGUUUAAUAUGAGCUAUUAGCAUGUUUUUGUGAUUUUUCUGAGGCCUAAAGAAUAUAUGGUAUGCUAUUUAAUUGCUGGAAUUACGAACAUAUAGAUAGUUUUAGGUGCAAUUGCAUGUUUAUUUGUUCAUGUUGUCUUGUGUUUUGUUGCUUGAGGACAAGCAACGAUUUAAGUUUGGGGGUAUUCGAUGAUUGGGUAAUAUACCCAUGAAUCGGAUAUACUUGGGCUUAAAAUUGUAUUCUUAAGUUGUUUUGAUGCAUUAUUAUUAUGUUUUUGUGUUAUUUUGCAGAGAAAGGAGCUGCAGGGUGCAAUUUGGGAACUUCAAGUUGUGUAAUGGCAUUUUGGUAAUUUUUCAGGGACCAGCGCCGGGGUGCUAUUACUAGAGUUAAUCCCAUCGCUGGGGCGCUAUUACUAGAGUUAAUCCCAGCGCCGGGGAGCUGGGUCAUGAUUCUUGUUGACUAGACGCGCGUUGACUAUUGGUUUGACUGCACAAUUAGAGGCUAUUUGAAGUUGAUUUGGACUAGGAUUGAAGGAGCCUGGAUAAGUGGAGUAUAUAUAGGUUAUUUUGAUUGAAUUAGAGAUGGAUCAACUACACAAUUGAAGGCUAAGCAAGGAAGCAAGAACAAAUUGAAGAUUUUACUUAGAGUUUCUUCUUUUCCAUUCUUUCAAUUUGUGUAAUUCUUUAAGGAUGAUUUGCAAAAGAUUGUUGGUUUUAAUUUCUGUCAUGAACUAAUUUCUUUGAUUAAGAUUUCAAUUGAACCUUUUAUGGCUAUAAAUUAGUUAUUCAAUUUAUUCCAAUUAUUUGUGUCGAAGGGAAUUGUUUAUCUUGUCUUGCGUUUAUGGAUUAAUUAUUUGGCCAAUAAUUACCUUGUUACUCUAGAAGGAAUUGAAAGAGGAGAUCUAGGGUUAGAACUGGGCAUGAUAACAUGUGUCUUGAUUAUUUGCAUGACGAAUAAUUAGGUUCGUGAAUUGAAUGGAAAUAUUUGUUCACCGCAUGUAACACAUAAGGAAUUGGAAUUGAAGGAGUUUAAUUCAAUUGUUUUGCAUAGGAAUAUAGCAAGAUUAAUCUGGAUUAAAUAGAAGUCAUUUGAUCACUUGGAAAAUGACUUUUGGCAUUUGGAAUUCCUGUUAACAAUUCAAUAGGCAUAAUAAUUGGGAUAAUUGGAUAAUUGGUUUAUAGUUCAUAAUUGGGGAUAUUGGAGUCUUAAUCUUUAUUUACCUAAUUUCAUUCAUUAAAAUUCUAGUUUUAUUUAUUUAAUUUAUUUUUAGAAUAUUCUCUUUUCAUUGCUUAAAUUAGUUUCCUUAUUUUGAAAAAUCACAUUUAUGGUUGUUUAAAUAAAAUUGAUUUGGUUAAGAGUUAGUACUUGGUAAUUUUUAUUAAAUAAUUCCUCGUGGGAACGAUACUCUACUUUCACUUUAUUUCAUAUUGACCGUGUAUACUUGCACGUAUUCAUUGAUUGCGAAAUCGACCAACAAGUUUUUGGUGUCGUUGUCGGGGAACUCUUUAUUAAUUUUAAUUCCAUAUUAUUUAUAAUUAAUUCGGUCUUAAUUUAAACGUUAUUUAUUUUUCUUCUUGUAUUUGCAAGAAUUCUUUGUGAGUGCAUGCACACUAGAUCAAGGGCUAAAAAUGAACUUUUUCCUUAUACAGACGAUAUUGAAAGGAAGUUCCAAAAAUUGCAGUUGAAUAGUGCAGGGUCACCUGUGGAAGAAAAUCUGGCAGAACAAGAAAUUCCAGUGAACAUGGCAGGGGACGAACAGAAAUCGCUUAGGGAUUAUGCCAUGCCGAAUGUUACAGAUAUAUAGUCAAGUUUUAAGAGGCCGGCAAUCAAUGCAAAUAGUUUCGAGAUAAAACUAGGAACAAUUCAGAUGUUGCAGAAUACAUGCCAGUUUGGGGGUAGUUCGAUAGAUGAUCCUAAUGAGCACAUCUUGAGUUUCUUGGAAGUUUGCGACACCUUCAAGUUCAAUAAUGUAUCGGAGGAUGCUAAGGUUGAGGAUGUUCCCGUUUACAUUGAAAGAUAAAGCUCAGAGUUGGUUCCAUUCUUUGCCUCCUGGGUCAAUCACAGCCUGGGACGACUUAGCUCAAAAAUUUCUAGCUAAGUUUUUCCCACCAGCUAAGUCGGCAAAACUACGGAAUGAUAUUCAUACCUUUGCACUCAGAAUUUUUGAGGGUCAGAAAAAUUACGAAACAGCCCCUGGCAGAAACCCCUUUUGAAUGAAAAUACUAUUCAUAUGAAUACAAAGGAUCAUUCACCAUGCA
rnacentral:lncRNA from 1 species